CAAUAGCGUAUAUUUAAGUUGCUGCAGUUAAAAAGCUCGUAGUUGGAUUUCGGGUGGGAAUGGCCGGUCCGCCGUUUCGGUGUGCACUUGCUACGCCCACCUUGCUGCCGGGGACGUGCUCUUGAGUUCACGCUCGGGACACGGAGUCGGCGAGGUUACUUUGAGUAAAUUAGAGUGUUCAAAGCAGGCCUACGCUCUGAAUACAUUAGCAUGGAAUAACACGAUAGGACUCUGGCCUAUCUUGUUGGUCUGUAGGACCGGAGUAAUGAUUAAGAGGGACAGUCGGGGGCAUUCGUAUUUCAUUGUCAGAGGUGAAAUUCUUGGAUUUAUGAAAGACGAACUACUGCGAAAGCAUUGGCCAAGGAUGUUUUCAUUAA
rnacentral:rRNA from 1 species